GUAACUCAUAUUUGUAUGGAAUGGGAUCGUUUGCGUACGUUUGCCGCUAGGGGUGCUGUUCCAACUGCAUACAAAAUUGGUCUA
rnacentral:pre_miRNA from 1 species